GUAUUCACUUUGAUAUGAUACAAAAAAGUUUGGAGGAAAAUAAAUAGAAAGCCGACAAGAGGUAAGGCAAAGAGAGUAAUAAUAAUAUUCUAGAAAUAAAAGUAAUAAGAGGAAGAACCCUCUAACUAAACAAAACCUACCUAACUAAUAAAAAAU
rnacentral:lncRNA from 1 species